rnacentral:rRNA from 1 species
UGGAUUGUGGCCUUUAGACAUUGUACCAACGGCGGCGCGAGCGUAAGCCUCUUGGAAUAGAGCGUCUACCUGGGUGAGAAUCCUGUGUUUCGCUUGAUGUCCGCCGUGCACGGUACUUGCUCACAGAGUCACGCUCCUCGGAAUUGGAGCGUAAAUUGGGUGGUAAAUUUCAUCUAAAGCUAAAUACAGGCUCGAGACCGAUAGCAAACAAGUACCAUGAGGGAAAGAUGAAAAGGACUUUGAAAAGAGAGUUAAAAGUGUUUGAAAUCGCUGAACUGGAAGCGAAUGGAACUAGUGCUCUGGCUGAGAUUGCUGUAAGUGACAGCCAAAUUUGGGUGUCUGAACGCAAGUCUCUCACCUGGCUGGAAGCUGUUGCUUGCAAUGUGUCUCAGCUUGAAUGUCAAUGUCUAUGCGCGCAUGAGGAUGGCCUCUGGCUCAUGCUAUCUUGCUGAGGCGAGAU